GAUGUCGCACUAACUUUAGAAACUUUAACGACUUAACAUGGUAGUCCGAGAUGUUUUCCUUGACUAUAUAGCAGAAAUUACCAUCAACGAAUACGAAGGCCUUUGGGAAAUAACUGCUAAAUUAGCCUUGAUUAACACUUAUGGUAUAAAUGCAAACUGUAAAUAUAACAUGGAAUUAUAUAGAAAUCUUUGGAACAUUACAUUCAGCAAUUUGAACAUACAGAGUAUUUUACAGGAGAUAUUCGCAUUUAUGGAAUUCCUUUUUUUCUGGAAUAUUUAAGAGAGUCUUCACAGCGCACAUUUCAGGAAGAGAGCGCACCAGGGAGGCGCGUGACAGAUCCGCGCACGCUCGCGCACGCUCACUUGUGCUGUGGCAAACACGUUCAAUUAUGGCAUUGCUCUUUUGCGAUUUCCCGAACAGAAACCGAAAACAUAAACGGGAUUAUGCUUAUUGAACUUCGUCGAUUUAGUGGAAUAAGUGGCUUCAAGCGCUUAUAUUGACCUGGCUACGCACUGGUUUCCCUGUGAUGUUUCUGGCUGUAAGGAUGGCUUACAUUCAGUAUACUCCCGCUGCUCAAGAACAAUCAUCUUCUUUAUGUAGCAUUUGUAGCAACUCGAAAACAAAUUAAAAGCGCAGUGUGCUAAAUGUUUAGACCAUAUGUGUAAAAAACGAUAAGGUAAACCAAAAGCCAAGUCCAAAGUUUCAUGAACCGAGAAGAUCAUGACAUUGUGAAUCCAAAUUGUAACACUUUUCUGGAAGCUGGACAAGAGCCAUGGGCAAGGAGCAGGACCUUCUUCUGGCUGUGAAGAAUGGAGACCUUCCUUUAGCUCAUAAACUUCUGGCCAAGAUCAAGACCAACAGAAAUAAGUUGCUGGGCUCCACAAAGAGGCUGAAUGUGAACUACCAAGACCAAGAUGGGU